AAUCAACGCUGGCGGCGUGCCUAACACAUGCAAGUCGCACGAGAAAGGGACUUCGGUCCUGAGUACAGUGGCGCACGGGUGAGUAACACGUGAAUCAUCUACCUUCGAGUGGGGAAUAACUGAGAGAAAUCUUAGCUAAUACCGCAUAAUACCUACGGGUCAAAGCAGCAAUGCGCUUGAAGAGGAGUUCGCGGCAGAUUAGUUAGUUGGCGGGGUAAUGGCCCACCAAGACGAUGAUCUGUAUCCGGCCUGAGAGGGCGCACGGACACACUGGAACUGAAACACGGUCCAGACUCCUACGGGAGGCAGCAGUGGGGAAUUUUGCGCAAUGGGGGAAACCCUGACGCAGCAACGCCGCGUGGAGGAUGAAAUCCCUUGGGAUGUAAACUCCUUUCGA
rnacentral:rRNA from 1 species